UUUGCCUUCAUACUCAUGUAUAUAUUUAUUAAAGGAAUAGUUAACUAAUACUUUUUGAGGUUUGAUUUUUCCUUAAUUGCAGCAAUGUGACCAUACCCCUAAGCUUUUCCUCUCAUAUAAACACACGCGUGAAACCAACCUGUCGGCUAGCCCCAUACAUUAACCUCCCAUCACUGCAUAGGUUUGGAUUUCCUGCAUCUAGAUCAGCCAGAUGGAACCAGUGUCAGUUUUGAGUGUUUGUUGUCCAAAAUUAGGCUAAGACUAUAAAUACUUCUUGUUUCGGCCACUGUUCAACCUGUAUCUGUCUAGGACCCGGAUUUUUGCCAUGCCCUAAGUUGUAAUUGGUUAAUAUGUAUGUGUCCUAAGCAACGAGCCUGGCAUGGAACUGGAAUGCAAUAACUAGAGUGUUAAAUUGUAAUAAGUGGAGCAAAAGAAAGUGAUGUAAAGAACAUAAGAACUUUAAUGUCUGAGAUGGGUUGAAGAUCAAGAUCAUGUAGCUGUAGAAUUUGAGUCAAUUCUUUGUUCAGGUAAGUUGUUGCAAUCUUGUACACAAAGCUUGUAAGAAACAUCAGAUACUUGUAAAUUGCCAGACCUGAUCCACCAUUGUUGGUUGACACUUAAGUUGAAGAUGGGGAAUAUGACUAUAAAUUAUAUUAAUCAUGUUCUUUUCAUUUAUUCAUCCAAUUAUGAAAUUAAAAUUGUGUUCAUAUCAUUGUCCUAAAGUGAACCCUAAUGUUUAGAAUCAUGUUGGAUGAAAAAUUUUCUAUAUAGAAAAGCUUUUUGCUUUUCUUAGAUGGGAUGAAUAUAUCAUCUUGAGUUUGAUCCAUGGUAGCUCGAACUUCUAUGUAGGGUAUCACAUCGGCUUAGAGACUCUUUGGAAACUUACUCCAACACCUUUAUAUACAUCGCCAUAUUCUUUUUCGCCCUGGAGACAUCUGUUCCCGUACCAGCACCUGAUUAUGAGUAAAACAUACCACAAGAGAGUAAACCACUAAACAUCUUGAAGUAGGCCUUUAUUUAUAAUGACUCCAAUGGAGCAAAAUCGACAUCAGAACAAAGCUAAAAGGCCUUUAAAAAAUGGAUAAAAAAUGGAUGAGAAGAGCAGUGCUAGACAUUGGGAGGCAGUCAUCUGGAUGCUUCUUGCUUUAUCUUUGGUGCUUGUGUAGGCAUUGCCUCAGUAAACCUGCCUCGCCUUUGGAUUGUUGAAGUGCUUAUUACUCUCCUCAUUUUGCUUAAGCACCUAGGCAAGCGCUUGGAGGGCCUUUGAGAACAAUCGGCACUCACCCGGAUGCUUUGCACUUUGUCUGUGGCGCUUGUGUGGGCAUUGCUCAGUAAACCUGCAUUGCCUUGGGAUUGUUGAAGUGCUUAGUACUUUCGCCAUCUUGCUUAAGCACCUAAGCAAGCGCUUGGAGGGCCUUGAGAAACACUACUUUUGUUAAUAUGGUCUAACCAACUAUUACAAAAUAUAUCAUGUAUGAUUUGGAUGUUUAGCAUACCUAGUAAGCACAUGAAUUAUGCGUUAGACCUACCUAAGGUUCUACGGAAGAGGUGCAGAUCCUUGGAGCCUGAUAUUAAGGAUGAAUUUAGGACAUUUUUAAAUGCACUGGCCAAUGGGAGCCAUGAACGGAUACAAUUACUUGGUUUGAUCAUGUAUCCUUAUUUUUAGGAUUUUUGGAAUUGAGGGAUGUGUUGAGGAUGAUGAUAAAGGUAAUAGCAUGAUUUUUUUUUUGUCAUACCAGGGUAAUAAGCCAUUUUCAGUAAAUGACAGUCCCUAGAACAAAAGUUGACUCAACUAUGCAAAUAAUUAUGAAUCAUUCUGCACAAUGAAUUCUAUUAAGGAUUGCAUCCUAAUCUAAGGUAGGUUUUCUUAAAGCCCUAAAAGAUACAUUACAAUCCUUAUUCAUUGGAGCUUCUCCUUGUUAUGGUCCUUCAAGACAAAUCCAAUCCUCUUGCUGAACUGAAGCCUCCUUUAUUGCUCUUUGCAUAUGCCUAAAUUAUUUUUACUUGCUUUACCAAUUUCUCAUUCAUAAUUCCUACUACUUUCUCUUUCUAAUUCCAUGCUCAAUUCUGCUGCAUGCAUACCUCAUUCUCGUUUCUUGUGAAACUCGUCACAUGUCUUUAGGUUUUAUUGUGUAACUAUCCACAAAACAUUUCUUGUAACCUUUUUUGUCAUACAAAGGUUUACUUCAUAAUGACAUAAUGAAUAUACUUCACUGUUCUUUUAGACAUGUACCUCUCCAUGUUUUUUUGAUUAUUCAUGGUGGCAAAGUAAAUCAUGUUUUUGUGUUUGUGUUGCCCACCAUGUUAGAAUGAAGUUAAUUCAUUUUUUUCAUGCCAAACUUAUCCAACUUUUUGGUUCCUUUUCUUCUAUAGUUUUUCCUCCAUUCCAACUUGACACUCAAACUUAUACUAGUUACAUUGAUCAAGGAUUAUAUUUUCAAUCAAUAAUUUGUACCACAAUACCCCAGUUUGCGUACCAAUUUUUCAUUGAGGAGAUAAGGGCUAAGGGUUGACCCUUGGCCUAGGCCCAUGACAAGCCAGAAGUCGUAGUCCUUGUCAUGACACUGUUUGUUUCCUUAGGGAUAGAAACAAAGAAAGUGUAGCUUCCAAAAUCAUGUCUUGCAAUUAUUGUAGGACUCCAUCAUAAUUCUUAUGUGCAUUUCAUAUGCCAAACUCUAGCAAUAUUUAAUGCAGCCUUCAGCUAUUGGUGGUGAUUUUUUUUUUAAUUCUUAGUCAUGCUCGGACCCACUGGGGAAAGUAUAAAAGGUUUGAUGAAAUCUAUGUUCCCCACUUGAUCUUUAACUUUCAAUAGCUUAAUAAUUUUUGAUUCAAUGCAUAAAAAACAGGAGCAUGAGUUAUAUGCAAAUAGAGAUUGUGAAGCUGAAGGACUGUUAGGAAGAGAAUCCUUAAUUAAUUUGGAUUUGAAGGCUAACAAUCUUAGUUGAUGCAACACUAGGAAGUGAAAAUUAGAUAAGAGAGAUUUGGAGAUGCUCUUUUGGGUGCUCAAUCUUAUGGUUACUUUUUGACACUCCAGUGUCUUCACGUAUUAAGCUGGUCCUCACAUUGUGCUGGAAUCUUAAUGCAGAAAACCUUGUUCUUUGAUACCAAAUAAUGUAAAGAGUGACAGAAAAGAAAGAUAAGAGGAGAUGUGGGUUGUGGAACUAGGGAGGAAGGAAGACUGUGGGACUCUUCAACUAUGAAGGUGUAGAGAAAAUCCAUCAAAUUCACGAAGCUUUGAUAAUCUUAAAUCUUAAUAACAAGAUUCUAGCCAAGAGACUAUAUACAAGGAUUUUUCUAAAGAAAACAAGCAAAUCCUUUGGUAACUCUGCAAAUUACCAUAAAAUUCCAUUUUCAGGAUUUGUAAGCUUCACAUCACCACCAUGAACCCUAUGCCUUGUCCUUAGACUUUAGGGCCAUAGACUCAAAGAUACUAAAAUCAACAGCAGCAAUCAAUCUAGAACUCCAAUCUUAAUUGGAAUAGUAACUGACGAUACUAAAAUUGGCACCAAUGGUACUACUCAGGCGGCAUCUGAAAAUAUACACAUGAAUAAGAGUGAGUAUAAUGGAUUUACUAUGGCUGAGACACCCAGGUGUAGCGUAGUGGCAGAAUCACAAUUUUCUGCUGAAUUCAUGGUCUCUCAGAGAAACAUUGUAUCUCCUUUGUCCAGGCUUUUGAUUUUUGUGAUUCUUGAUGUCAUCAGACGAAGGCUUUUUAAUAUUACUCAUGAUCAAGCAUGAAUUUUAUUUUAUAAGGGAAUCUAUCAGCCGUUUAGUUGAGGAAAGACUGCAUCUUAGUCUUUUGUCCAUGUUCGCCCAUGCCAUUUUCACUUCAUUGCCAACCUCUGUGCUAAUUCGCAUCAAGUUCUUAUAAUUCUGUAAAAAAAUUAGGAGCUGAAUAUUGGAUUUUAGCGGACAUGUAAGAGGCUGCAGAAUAUGCCCGAAAUAGCUGUCAGGAUUGGAUGAUGAAGAUGAGGGUUUAAACAAGCUGAGAGAAAUUUAAAAGAAUGUAAUGUAUGGGGGAGGGGGGUCUAUAUAUAGUAUCCUUUUUGUGCGGGAAGGAGAACUUAAAGACCUCCCCCAAGGGUUAUAUAUGGCCAAAGGGUACCUUGAGUUCAGGAUUUUAAGACAACAGAUAUAAUUCUAGGUGAGAAGUAAGAGCUGUUUGACCUGCAGGAGAUACAGUUUCUAAAGUAAGGGAAGUUCUGGUCCCCAAUGAGAUACGUAUAUAAGAUCAUUUGGAUUCCAGAAAAAAAGCCUUACAUUAGUUUUUUAAUUUUUGGUUAGUUCUUCUACUGAUCUUUUAAAAAUUUUGGAUUUGAAAAGUAGAAUCAGAGCAAAUAUAUAGUGUCAUGUGGAAUUAGUUUGAGUUGGAACAACGGAGCUGGAGAGAACCCCAGAGAAGAAAAGAGUUGCUGCUUUUCAGAAAAAAGAGUAGUUUUUAAACUUUAGAAGCUAUUGGAAAGUUCAGGUGUCCUCCAAUAAAUAAGUUUUUGUUGGGAGCUUGUUUCAGGACUCUUCCAGCCCUAGACUUGCAAAUCGUGCUGAUAAGGUGAAAAUAUAAUUUGAGCACAUCGUUGAGGAAAUAAAUAGACCAAUAUGCUUGGUUAUUUAUAAAUUUCUUUAUUUAUCUUUUAAAUAAUGCUUCUGUAGUGCUGAAAAAUAAUUCAUGAUAUUUAUUAGGUAGAUAUGGUGGAUGGAAAUAUAUUUUUUGGAGGGUAGGUUGUUUGAGAAUACCAUGCAAGCCACAAUAGUUCCUAUUAUAGAGGAUGGGUACAUCACUAUAGAAGGCCACUUGGAGGUGCUAUAUAUUACAAACACAGGCAGUUUCAUAGCCCAAUGUCAUUGAAUAUAAUUUUGACAGCUAAAUGCCUUAAUUAUCAGAUGUUUUUGAUAAGCCUCCAUGUGCAGCAUUGUUGUGUCGUGGAAUAAAGUCUUUCAUCCCCCUUCUUGGCCUGAACCUAAAAGACAAGCAAUAUAAUCAUUGUUCAAAAAUCUAAAAUCGUAAUUCCAAAUUGAAAUGUGAGACUCAGCAAUGAUAUUGUCAUUUGCUGCUGCAAGCUGUACGCUCUCACUCUUUCUUUAUUUCCCUCUAGCUGUCAUAGUUUGGUUUUUUCUGAACUUGGUUAUCAGAGAUGUUUUGACACUGGGGGCACUCAUUUGUAGGAGUUACUGGAAUGACGUAUUCAUUCAAGCUUUCCCUUGAUUGGGUAAACCCUUAGCUGUGAUGCGCUCAAAUGGAUUCCAGUGUCUUAAAGACAAUUGCCCGUCGCUGCAGUCAGAACUCCUGAAGAUAAUUGCGGGUUGUGAAGAGGAAUGCAGCAGCGGUGGAAAGACCGGAGUGUAUGGGCCCAGCUCUCAGAUGGUGCGGAUUCCAGCGGCCGGAGAGUAAGGCCUAGGACUUGAUCCCAAGUAAAUGCUCAGUUACUGAUUUGUAAAUGACAGCACCGGGUCCCAAGAAAGGGUAUAGAAAUGACAUUAGCUCUGUUGUACCUUUUUUCGUUUGUUCCAUGGAUAACGAUUUGAUGCUGUAGACUGGAGGUCCUUUUGUAUCAGAAGACAUUUGAAGUAGUGCAUCACUGAAUAGAGGCUUGCCGUCUCUCACAAGAUUACAAGAAAGCAAGCUAAAUCAAAGGAAAUUCUCCUUGGACUCGCAAACAUGGUGACCGCAAUUAAUUUCUUGGAGAAUUUCUUCUCUAUUUGUUUUA